UUUCCGUAGGUGAACCUGCGGAAGGAUCAUUCAUAAUCAGUGUUUUAUGGCACUUUUUUAAAUCCAUAUCCACCUUGUGUGCAAUGUCAGGGUUGAUUUUUCUCUCGAGAGGAUCAACCCCAAACAUCAACUAUAUCUCAACUCUUUGUCUGAAAAUAUUAUGAAUAAAACAAUUCAAAAUACAACUUUCAACAACGGAUCUCUUGGCUCUC
rnacentral:misc_RNA from 1 species